GGGCGCUUAGCUCAGGGGGAGAGCGCUUCCUUGACACGGAAGAGGUCAGAGGUUCAAAUCCUCUAGCGCCCACCA
rnacentral:tRNA from 2 species